rnacentral:rRNA from 1 species
AGAGUUUGAUCCUGGCUCAGGACGAACGCUGGCGGCGCGCCUAACACAUGCAAGUCGAACGAGCGAGAGAGAGCUUGCUUUCUCGAGCGAGUGGCGAACGGGUGAGUAACGCGUGAGGAACCUGCCUCAGAGAGGGGGACAACAGUUGGGAACGACUGCUAAUACCGCAUAAGCCCACGACCCGGCAUCGGGUAGAGGGAAAAGGAGCAAUCCGCUUUGAGAUGGCCUCGCGUCCGAUUAGCUAGUUGGUGAGGUAACGGCCCACCAAGGCGACGAUCGGUAGCCGGACUGAGAGGUUGAACGGCCACAUUGGGACUGAGACACGGCCCAGACUCCUACGGGAGGCAGCAGUGUGGAAUAUUGCACAAUGGGGGAAACCCUGAUGCAGCGACGCCGCGUGGAGGAAGAAGGUCUUCGGAUUGUAAACUCCUGUUGUUGAGGAAGAUAAUGACGGUACUCAACAAGGAAGUGACGGCUAACUACGUGCCAGCAGCCGCAGUAAAACGUAGGCCACAAGCGUUGUCCGGAAUUACUGGGUGUAAAGGGAGCGCAGGCGGGAAGACAAGUUGGAAGUGAAAUCCAUGGGCUCAACCCAUGAACUGCUUUCAAAACUGUUUUUCUUGAGUAGUGCAGAGGUAGGCGGAAUUCCCGGUGUAGCGGUGGAAUGCGUAGAUAUCGGGAGGAACACCAGUGGCGAAGGCGGCCUACUGGGCACCAACUGACGCUGAGGCUCGAAAGUGUGGGUAGCAAACAGGAUUAGAUACCCUGGUAGUCCACACUGUAAACGAUGAUUACUAGGUGUUGGAGGAUUGACCCCUUCAGUGCCGCAGUUAACACAAUAAGUAAUCCACCUGGGGAGUACGACCGCAAGGUUGAAACUCAAAGGAAUUGACGGGGGCCCGCACAAGCAGUGGAGUAUGUGGUUUAAUUCGACGCAACGCGAAGAACCUUACCAAGUCUUGACAUCCUGCGACGGACAUAGAAAUAUGUUUUUCCUUCGGGACGCAGAGACAGGUGGUGCAUGGUUGUCGUCAGCUCGUGUCGUGAGAUGUUGGGUUAAGUCCCGCAGCGAGCGCAACCCUUAUCCUCAGUAGCCAGCAGGUCAAGCUGGGCACUCUGUGGAGACUGCCAGGGAUAACCUGGAGGAAGGUGGGGAUGACGUCAAAUCAUCAUGCCCCUUAUGAUCUGGGCUACACACGUGCUACAAUGGCGUAAACAAAGGGAGGCAAAGCCGCGAGGUGGAGCAAAUCCCAAAAAUAACGUCUCAGUUCGGACUGCAGUCUGCAACUCGACUGCACGAAGCUGGAAUCGCUAGUAAUCGCGAAUCAGAAUGUCGCGGUGAAUACGUUCCCGGGUCUUGUACACACCGCCCGUCACACCAUGGGAGUUGGUAACGCCCGAAGUCAGUGACCCAACCUUUCAGGAGGGAGCUGCCGAAGGCGGGACUGAUAACUGGGGUGAAGUCGUAACAAGGUA